AUGUACUACAUGUGCACUGCGGUCCUUGCGUGCUUUCUACACCCACCUGCCGAUUGGUUACUGCAUUUUGUCAGCC
rnacentral:sRNA from 1 species